UCCCGUGCUGCUGGAUGUGGCCGGCGUCCGCCGUCUCUGCCACGUUACCCCCCUCUUGUCCCCAACCCCACCUCUCCUCUGCCAAUUCCAGGACUUCCUUGGAUGUUUUUCUCCUCCCUGCUUCCCUCUGGAUGAUCAUCUAGUCCCAGUUACCUAACACUGCCUAUGCUACAGAGCUGAGCUGCCUAAGAAAGAGCGCUUUGUAUUUACAUAGCGCCUGUCCUGGCCUCUGCCCUGUGGCUCCUCACUGCCCGGAAGCUCUGCUGUUUGAGGGCAGAGGUAGUGGGUGCGCUGGCUGUGAACCGGGCCUGCUUCCUUGGGCUCCUCUGAGGAGGAGACGGAUGUGGAUGUGGCUGGUUGUCACUGUCAAGUUGGCUGACAGCACUGGAGGCUCGGAGGAAGUGAGGAGGUCACUGAAGGAGCCAGCAGGAGGCAGGCAAGCAUCCCUGGAGGGACAGCCCCUUCCCAUCUGUGGAGGACCUGGUGAAGCUGCCCUGCUCAGUUCCCGGUGUUGUUUGGAUGCUGGCCUAAGGUCCCAGAGCCCGCCUGUCAGCUGCAGUCAAGCAGGGCAGGUGUGAGGGGCAACAGCAGAAACAGGAGCUUCGGAGCCAGGAGAGUGUCCUUCCUGAUGGCUUCUCGAGCACUGGCUCUGAAUCCUUUGUUUCCUCAGUUUAUCUUUCCACAUGGAGUGAGUGGCUUCUUGCUGAGCUUUGGGUGGAGAUGUUGUUGCCUGCUGUAACCCACAGUCCCUGUUCCCCUGGCUCGCGAGGUCCAGCUGCUUUUCCACAAGCACUCCUUUCGUAGACCUCAGAGAAGAUUGGGGGCUCCCUGCGCUCUGGACAGUUUGUCUUUCAGUGGAGUUGACACCUGGCUUCCUGGGGAGGAGAACUGGAUGAGUAUCUGAGCACUAGGACUUGGGAAGGACCUCAGCCCCUGCAGGCUGGCUCUGGCCUCCCCUGAUGAGUGGAGCUGUCACUCAAGUCCCAAGGGUAAGCAGGCGGAGGACUGAGAUAUUCAUCCUGAGCUUCCGAAGCCACUUGUCCGUGGUCCUCAGCUAAGGAGGAAGAUUUCGGAGCCUCUGCUCCUUGGACACUGAGCUCCAGGGAGACCCUGGUCCUUGGCCCAAGCCCGAAGGUCCUCCCAGUGCUCUGCCACCUUCCUGGGAACCAGCAGAGCGGGCCGCCUUGGCCCCCUUGACCCCCUUGGGGUGGGAGCUCUUGCUUUCUGGAAUGAAGCUGACUGAGAAGCAUAGUGACUUCUCAGCGGCCUUGGGGACGUUCUCUGUCUGAGCCACUGUUAAAGCCCGGAAGCCAGGUUCCUCCAGUGGGGCGCUAGUGUCUUCCCAGGGACAGACGUCUGCCAUAGUGCCCCUUAUUUUAUUUCCUUCCGGAUCUGUGACCUCCCACUGACAGAGCUCUGCUGUCCUGGUACCCCCGCUGCCUGCUCCACAGCGGCUGACUUUGUAGCAGUCUGCACCCAGAGCAUCUCCCUGGGGGACCGGGCCCUCUGAGCCUGUGCCAUCCCAGGGGCCAACUAUGUCCUGUUCUCUGCCGAGUGUCACUGCCGCUGCUGCAAAGUCUCCUUCAGCCCCUGCAGAUCCUGCCUUCAGAAAGAGCACCUCUCCUUGCCCUUGGGACCCUCCUGCCACCCCCUGUGCCGGUGUCCCUUCACCUGCCCCUCCAGGACCUGGCUCCCGAGGGGCUAACCUCUGCUUCCUGGGUGGAGGGCUUCUCUUCCACUUCCCACGGACACACUUCUGCUGCCCCUGCCCCCAUGUGACCUGCAGCCUUGGCCCUGGCUCUGCGUCCCUCAGAAGCGCACGGGGCCAGUUGUGGCGCCACACCCCCACCAUCUCGACUGUCCCUGGGACACGUGGCCCCCAGCUUCCUGCAGUCUGCCAUCUCAGGUGUUUCCUGAACCUGCUGGGGCUCUGGUCUUUCCUGGGCUCUUCCUGUUCCCUCUCGAGAGUCUCCCUUUCCAUCCUGUCUCCAUGCCCCUCUCUCAAGGACUUUCUCUGUGGCCUCCCUGGGACAGAGCUCAGCCUUGGCACUGCUCUCAGCUUCACACACAUCUGGGUCAGGAGCAUCCCAUGGGCACAUUCGGGCAAUGCUGCCCCCCACCACUGCCCAGGGCCUGGGAGCUGGCUUCCAUUUGGUCAGGAUGCUGGCUGUUGGGGUGGGACAGAGAGCCCUCUGGUGCCAUGGUGUCCCAUGGACAGACAGACAGUCCCGCUUUGCUAGUCCCUCCCCCAGCCUCAGUCAUAGAUUCUGCUUUUGAAGCUGGAGCUUUUCCCUGGGUCUCGUGUUCCGGGAAGGAGCCUGUCUUUGGGUCUUGUUUCAGUUCCCCCUUCUGUGUCCCUUCCGCACUCACUUCCCAGGACAAGUCUGAGGCCUUGGGGACUGGAGCAGACCAUUCCCUCAAGUCCUGGUCCUCCCAAGGACAAACAGCUUCCUGCUCUUGGUGGAGUUUUGCCUCCCAUUCUGCUAUGCCUCCUGCUGGCAAGGGAAACCUUCCCUUUUCUAGAGUUUCCUGGUUCCCCAGCUCUUGCCCUAGCCCCUUCCCGGGGGCCCCUUCAUUCUCCUCCCAGGAACAGAUCUUGGCCUUGUCACUGGUGGGUGCUUCCUGUGCUUCCCAGGGACACAUGUCAGCUGGCCUGCAGCCCAGGCGGCCCUGGUCCUGGAGGCCCGCUCUUGGCCCUUCAGUGUCCAGAGUGUCCUUGUGCUGCCAGGAGCCCCCUGGACCCGGGUCUCCCCAGGGAUGGGCCCACUCCCCCUCCAUGGCUGGCCUCCCUGGCCUCGUCUUCCCUGUAGCGUUUGGAGAUCUGAUGCCCUCAGGUCCCCAAGCCCUUUCCUGGCCUGCUCCAGCGCCCACCUCCCAGGGACAGAUCUGUGCCUUGCCAUCUGUGGGGGUGUCCUCCACCUCCCACGGGCAGACCUCGGCUGCCCCACUUCCUGCACUCCCCAACCUCUGGGAAAUAACUCGGGACCUCUCUGGCUCUUGGGGACCUGGCAGUGGGGGUAAGCUGCCAGAGCCCACACUCUCCCAGGGGCAGACUGCUUCCUGCUUUGGGAUCUGCACCUCAGGCUUCUCCCGUCGAGGUGACAUCUUGGAUUCCUGCCUUCCCAGGCAUUUUCUCCUUAGCCUUUUGAGAGUCUCCUCCUUUAGCCGUCUGUCCUGGAGUCCCGUCCUCCGUUCCUUCUUUGACCUUCCAGGGACAGACCUCUGCUUUCCUGGGGACGGGCGCACCUGCCACCUCCCACGGACACACCUCGGCAAUGCUGCUGCCCAGGCUCCCCGAGGGGUCCCGGAAGCCUGUGCUCUCCCAGGGACACAGAGGCUCCGGGUCUGCACCCUGCUCCUGUUCCCUCCAGAAGGCAGCUUUCUUGGAGGCACUCUGCCCUGCCUGAGGGGCCGCCCUCUCUCCUGGGGCACGAGUCCCCUGGUCCGCUUCACCCACCUCCCAAGGGUACAGCUCUGCCCUGGCAGGGUGAGGGGGACCCAGCUUCUGUACCGGGGCUUCUGCCCAAGGCUUCUCUGCCUGCCUUCGGUCCACACUGCCUGCUGCUGAGGACCUGCCCACGGCUCCAGGGUCGGCACCCUCCCAGGGACACGAGGCCUCUUGGCUCCGCACCAGCCUCUCUGGCUUUCUCCGAGCUGUGACAGCUGCCCCUCUGGGCUCUGGCUUGCCUGUGGCUGUCCCCCUGUCUUCCUGGGAGUCACCUCGGUGCUGUCCCGAUGCCGUCCUCUGCAGGGCUCCCUUGCUCACCUCCCAGGGGCAGAUUUGGGCCUUGUUGCUACUGUCCAGCCCACCCGUGUCUGACUUGAUCACUUCCCAGGGACACGCCUCUGCCACCCCCUCGGUCAGCACUACCCAGCAGCAGGAGGCCACUUCUGGGUGGUUCUCGCCGCCCCUCCUGGGCCUUCCUUGGCUUGCUCGGCACUUUUGUCCCCAAACACUUGCCACAGUGUGGCAAGCCCCCUUUCCCUGCUUUCUCCACUUUGCUCUCCCCUGGGCCCUGGGAGAGCUUCCGGCCCUCCAGCCUCUUGCUCCCUCCCCCAUCCUGGUGACAGACAUGGAGCAUCCGGCUGGUGUGGGCAUUCUGCUGGUUCUGCAGGGACUCCUCAUCGUUGCAGGGCACCAGGGCUGCCUGCUUGCUCACCACCUUGGGCCGGCCCAGCCUGGGAGACCGGGAAGCACAGCCAUGGCCGCUCCUGCAGCCCUGUCCUUCUCCCUGUCUGGGCCGCACCCUCGCCACCACCGUCCCUUCUCCCUGUACGUGCUUCAGGGACCGUGUCCAGCGCUUUGAUGGCCAGCCCCAGGCUGCGCAUGGAGCCCUGCUGCACAGGCGUCUUGAGGCUGUGGGACCUCGAGAAUGUCUUGGGCCUGUCCUCAGCCCUGUCAUCUGCUUCCCCCUCCCUCCGGUCGCCCGGCUCCAGCAUCCAUCUCACUGUCCAUGGCCACCCUCUUCCCUACCGCCUCGGAGGGGCCUCCAGAGCUUGCCUCGAGCCAGGGCUGGGGAGUGGCUGCCCAGGGCGCCUUCCUGGACCACAGUUUCUUUCUUGACUGGCAGCUCUGCAUUCUCCCAGGGGCAGAUGUAGGUGAGUAAGAUGGG
ensembl:lncRNA